GACGAACGCUGGCGGCGUGCUUAACACAUGCAAGUCGAACGGAAAGGCCCUGCUUUUGUGGGGUGCUCGAGUGGCGAACGGGUGAGUAACACGUGAGUAACCUGCCCUUUACUUUGGGAUAACUUCAGGAAACUGGGGCUAAUACCGGAUAGGAGCUCCUGCUGCAUGGUGGGGGUUGGAAAGUUUCGGCGGUUGGGGAUGGACUCGCGGCUUAUCAGCUUGUUGGUGGGGUAGUGGCUUACCAAGGCUUUGACGGGUAGCCGGCCUGAGAGGGUGACCGGCCACAUUGGGACUGAGAUACGGCCCAGACUCCUACGGGAGGCAGCAGGGGGGAAUAUUGCACAAUGGGCGGAAGCCUGAUGCAGAAACGCCGCGUGCGGGAUGACGGCCUUCGGGUUGUAAACCGCUUUCGCCUGUGACGAAGCGUGAGUGACGGUAAUGGGUAAAGAAGCACCGGCUAACUACGUG
rnacentral:rRNA from 1 species